rnacentral:rRNA from 1 species
CCCUUAGAUGUUCUGGGCUGCACGCGUGCUACACUGAUAUUGCCAAUAUGUCAUUCUUAUCCGAAAUGGAUUGGGUAAUCAAGUAAUGAAAUUUCAUGCUUGGAAUCGGUAAUUGCAAUUUUAUCGUGAACGAGGAAUUCCUAGUAAGCACUAGUCAUCAGCUAAUGUUGAUUAUGUCCCUGCCCUUUGUACACACCGCCCGUCGCUACUACUGAUUGGGUGUUCAAGUGAGAUGCUUAGACCCUUGUUGCAUGGUUCAUUAUUGUGCUCCGAAAAGAAAAAGUUUCAAGCUUGAGUGUCUAGAGGAAGUAAAAGUCGUAACA